rnacentral:rRNA from 1 species
CCUACGGGUGGCAGCAGUGAGGAAUAUUGGUCAAUGGUCGGGAGACUGAACCAGCCAAGCCGCGUGAGGGAUGAAGGUCCAGAGUAUCGUAAACCUCUUUUGCCAGGGAACAAAGCCGGGGACGUGUCCCCUGAUGAGUGUACCUUAAGAAAAGCAUCGGCAAACCCCGUUCCAGCAGCCGCGGUCACACGGAGGGUGCGAGCGUUAGCCGGUUUUAUUUGGUUUAAAGGGUGCGCAGGCGGUCUGUUAAGGUCGAGGUCAAAGACCGGGGCUAAAACCCGGCCCGCCGUUGAAACUGGCAGUCUAGAGUUGGAUAGAAGUAUGCGGAAUGCGCGGUGUAGCGGUGAAAUGCAUAGAUAUCGCGCAGAACUCCGAUUGCGAAGGCAGCAUGCCGGCUCCACACUGACGCUGAGGCACGAAAGCGUGGGUAUCGAACAGGAUUAGAUACCCCUGUAGUC